rnacentral:rRNA from 1 species
GACGAACGCUGGCGGCGUGCCUAAUACAUGCAAGUAGAACGCUGCAGGAGGAGCUUGCUUCUCUGGAUGAGUUGCGAACGGGUGGGUAACGCGUAGGUAACCUGCCUGGUAGCGGGGGAUAACUAUUGGAAACGAUAGCUAAUACCGCAUAAUAGCAGUUGUUGCAUGACAACUGUUUGAAAGGUGCAAUUGCACCACUACCAGAUGGACCUGCGUUGUAUUAGCUAGUUGGUGGGGUAACGGCUCACCAAGGCGACGAUACAUAGCCGACCUGAGAGGGUGAUCGGCCACACUGGGACUGGGACACGACCCAGACUCCUACGAGUGGCAGCCGUAGGGAAUCUUCGGCAAUGGACGGAAGGCUGACCGAGCGACGCUGCGUGAGUGAAGGAGGUUUUCGGAUCGUAAAGCUCUGUUGUAAGAGAAGAACGAGUGUGAGAGUGGAAAGUUCACACUGUGACGGUAUCUUACCAGAAAGGGACGGCUAACUACGUG